CCUACGGGAGGCAGCAGUGGGGGAUAUUGGACAAUGGGGGGAACCCUGAUCCAGCGACACCGCGUGAGUGAAGAAGUAUUUCGGUAUGUAAAGCUCUGUCAGCAGGGAAGAAAGAAAUGACGGUACCUGACCAAGAAGCCCAGGCUAACUACGUGCCAGCAGCCGCGGGAAUACGUAGGGGGCAAGCGUUAUCCGGAAUUACUGGGUGUAAAGGGAGCGUAGACGGUUAAGUAAGUCUGGAGUGAAAGGCCGGGGCCCAACCCCGGAACUGCUCUGGAAACUAUUGAACUUGAGUGCAGGAGAGGUAAGCGGAAUUCCAAGUGUAGCGGUGAAAUGCGUAGAUAUUAGGAGGAACACCAGUGGCGAAGGCGGCUUACUGGACUGUAACUGACGUUGAGGCUCGAAAGCGUGGGGAGCAAACAGGAUUAGAUACCCCUGUAGUC
rnacentral:rRNA from 1 species